rnacentral:rRNA from 1 species
CGGCAACAGCUCAAAUUUGAAAUCUGGCCUCUUUGGGGUCCGAGUUGUAAUUUGGAGAGGAUGUUUCGGGUACGGUCCGGGCUUAUAUUUCUUGGAACAGAAUGUCAUAGAGGGUGAGAAUCCCGUCUGGAGUCCGGACACGGCCUAUGUGAAACUCCUUCGACGAGUCGAGUUGUUUGGGAAUGCAGCUCUAAAUGGGUGGUAAAUUUCAUCUAAAGCUAAAUAUUGGCCAGAGACCGAUAGCGCACAAGUAGAGUGAUCGAAAGAUGAAAAGCACUUUGAAAAGAGAGUUAAAAAGUACGUGAAAUUGUUGAAAGGGAAGCGCUGGCAACCAGACUUGCACGUCGGGGUUCCCCCUUGCUUUUGCCUGGGUUACUCCCCGGCGUUCAGGCCAACAUCGGUUUCGGGGGUUGGUUAAAGGCCUUAGGAAUGUACUUACCCUCCGGGGUAAACUUAUAGCCUAGGGUGUCAUGCGACCUCCCGGGACCGAGGAACGCGCUUCGGCUCGGAUGUUGGCGUAAUGGUUGUCAGCGACCCGUCUUGAAACACGGACCAAGGAGUCUAACAUCUAUGCGAGUGUUAGGGUGUCAAACCCUUACGCGGAAUGAAAGUGAACGGAGGUAGGAAGCCGUUAGGCUGCACUAUCGACCGAUCCUGAAGUUUACGGAUGGAUUUGAGUAAUAGCAUAGCUGUUGGGACCCGAAAGAUGGUGAACUAUGCCUGAAUAGGGUGAAGCCAGAGGAAACUCUGGUGGAGGCUCGCA